GGUUCCAUAGUGUAGAGGUUAAUACAUCUGCUUUACAUGCAGAAGGUCCUGGGUUCAUGCCCCAGGUAGAGCCA
rnacentral:tRNA from 1 species